UGCCCUGUUAUGGAGACGACAGGACCGAAGCAUUCAGCAGCAUUUGAUAAAGGCAGGGAGUUCAUAAAAAGAGUAAAACAGAUGACGCUCAGCAACCCACCUCACAAAAUAAUAUGUGUCGUUAGGUCUAGUGUGCUUCCAUGUGGCAUUUCUUCCCUCUCGGGCUCCGACUAAGAGAAGGCAGCUGAGCCCUGCCCCUCUUAAACAGCUGAUUCUCACAGUUCUGGUUUCCUACCCCAGGAGCCCUCUCUCCCAAGGCAGUUGAUCUUGGAACAGCCCUCAGCGUCCAGGUGCAGUCCUAUCCUUAUCCUUCUGAGUUUCAACAGAGUAAUCAAAUCUCAGUACUAAACAACCCUGUAUUCAUACUGUUGAUAUACAUGCAUAUAUUUCUUUAGAGUCUUUCUUUGGCUAAUUUUUUUCCUAAGUACUAUUUUUGCCUGUUUUCUCCUUGGUUUUGCUCUCAUCAAACGUCCUCGUCUGUAUUUCUGCCUGCUGACUGUUAACUGAGCUCCUCCUGUGGUUGGUGGCUGUGAACUGGCCAGCUCCUUGUCUGGAGUUGCUCAGUGUUGCAAUUCACUGGUAAUGAUAAUGACCAGAUGCCUCUUCUGUCCACAUAUAUUUUAUCCCCAUGUAUUUUAGAUGCCCUUGCUGUGGUUAUCGAGGUGGCCAACCAUGCCAACGACACCAUGAAACAAGGAGUGAGUAUCUUCAUUUCAGUGGCUGCCAUACUCUUGAACCUGGGAGCCCCUGCCUUCAUUUGCUCUGUAUCCCUUUCCAUAGGACAACUUUCAGAAACUGAUGCAAAUUCAGUACAGCUUAAAUGGACACCACGAAAUAGUUCAGCCUGGGCGGGUUUUUCUCAAAGAAGGAACCCUGAUGAAGCUAUCUCGGAAAGUCAUGCAGCCCCGAAUGUUUUUCCUGGUAAGUGGCCACCUGUGUUUCUGCUGAGUCCAAGGCAGGGAAUUGCCUAAUAAAGGAGACACUUGCUCAGGACAGAUAAGCUUAGCACAUUCAAAUAGCAGUUUUAGUUUGACCUUUGGCU
rnacentral:lncRNA from 1 species